GUCUGGAGAAGAAAGAGGAUUUGUUACAGGAUCUCCGAUGAACUCAGAGAUUAGAGGAACUGGGGGAAGAAAAUGACCCACGCACACUGUUUGAUGAAUACCAGUUCCCUUGCAAAGGGACAUUUGGCGUUGCAAUAACAAAGAAGAAAGUCUAUAGAUCAGAUAUUGGAAUGCAAUAUCCGGAAUAUGCAUGGUCCUCCAUCAACGUAGGUAGAGAACUACCUGCGGGAAGCGGGUUUUUGGCACGUGGGGACAGUAGGUCGGGGAUGCAAGGUGGACUCGAAACUAAUCAGUGCGUUGAUUGAGAGGUGGAGACCCGAAACGCACACAUUCUAUCUUCUAUGUAGAGAGUACACUAUCACUUUGGAAGAUGUCAGUCUGCAAUUGGGAUUACCGGUGGACGGGUACCCAGUCACCGGGUGUGCCCAAUCUAGCGAUUGGCUUGCGGUGUGCUACGAGCUUUUGGGCGCUAUUCCGGAGAAAAUGGACGGAGGUAAGAUCGAGAUGGGCUGGUUACGAGACACAUUCCCGGAUCCGGAUGAAGAUUCAACCGAAAUAGAAAUAAUCCAAUAUGCUCGGGCAUACAUUCUUUAGUCAAUUGGAGGUUAUUUGAUGCCCGACUUGUCACGGAGCUGCGUACAUCUAAGAUGGCUGCUGAAACUCGUUGAUUUUAAAGCAGUUGGUGAAUUGAGUUAGGGGUCUGUCGUCUUGGCAACAUUAUAUAGGGAGAUGUGCGGGGCGACGCGACCGAGGAAAGCAAAAAUUGGAGGUUGCCUGUCACUACUGUAGUCAUGGGCACGGUUUCGCUUUCCAUUUUUACGUCCUCGAGUGGACCACCCAUAUACAUUCCUACUCAUAACGAGGUGGAACCAUCCGGCAAGUAAUGCUCGUUUACCUACCUCUCUUGAAGAUAUACGGUUUCUAUUAGACCAACAGUCAGAAGCACAUUUUCAAUGGACACCAUACGAGGAUCCGGCAAUUCGGGCAGUAAUUCCGGAUGAGUUCUUACAAAAUCCAAACGCUUGGCAAGCAAAAGUUGCGUUGAUCAACUACGCGACCGUGGAGAUGCACCAGUCAGACAAGGUGUUACGGUAAUUUGGAUGUAGACAACCGAUUCCCGUGGAACCUGAGGUGUUUGACAAUCACCAUAAAAUCGACCUUCGGCAAUGGAAUACAGAUUGGCCAAGAUUCUGGUCCGAGUACAUCCAAAUGUGGGAAGAUCGGUAUGACUAUAUACCUAGUAUAGAACCGAUCAUCGUUCCGGAGUUAGCGUGCUUGCCGGAAUACAUGCCAUGGUUUAGGAUCCAUGGCAAGCCGUAUUUACUAUCGCCAGAGGAGAGGCAGCGACAAUUACGUGUCCAAAGAGAAAGACGCAAGCCUUUAAAUCCAAGACGACAGGACGACGACGCUGGCCCCUCAACGACGCCCAAACAUUCACCCGGCCCAACGAAAGCACCGACACAGUCACCCGACCCAGCAAUUCAACCGAUGAUACCUACGCAACCGCCUUUUCAGAUGAUGCCAGGUGCGUUUUCUAGCCUUUUUAUGUAUUCUAACCCUUAUAUGUUUCCUUUUUCGAGUCCUAUGGCAGGUUGGAGCCAAUGGCCCUGUUCAGCUCCAUUUCCUGUUACACCGAGUGGACCACUGAUGUAUAGGCCAGCGAUGCAUGAGGGAUCGCAAGAGGGGCCGUCGGGGAGCUAUUCUUUUUACCAAUCCCCACCACCGUAUAGGUUUCAAACACCGUCGCCGUUGGUGAUACAAAGACCUCCACAUUCACAAUUCUAUCAAGGUGGCUCAUCGUUCCAACUCCGACAACCAGAUGCCCUACUGGGAGAACCAGAAUCCCCACUGGAAGAACCACAACCGCCGCUAAAAGCUGGACAAAGGAG